rnacentral:snRNA from 1 species
AGCUUUGCACAGUGGCAGUAUCGUAGCCAAUGAGGUUUAUCCGAGGCGCGAUUAUUGCCCAUUGAAAACAGCAACCUAGCUGUCC